rnacentral:rRNA from 1 species
GACAGAGGGUGCAAACGUUGUUCGGAUUUACUGGGCGUAAAGCGUGUGUAGGCGGCUUGGCAAGUUGGAUGUGAAAGCCCACGGCUCAACCGUGGAAGCGCAUCCAAAACUGCUUCGCUCGAGUCUCGGAGAGGAAGGUGGAAUGCUUGGUGUAGAGGUGAAAUUCGUAGAUAUCAAGCAGAACACCUGCGGCGAAGGCGGCCUUCUGGACGAUGACUGACGCUGAGACACGAAAGCUAGGGGAGCGAAUGGG